rnacentral:rRNA from 1 species
ACGAACGCUGGCGGACGUGGCCUAACACAUGCAAGUCAACUUGAGGGAAGGAGCAAUCUGACCUGGAUGGUGGCGCAAGGGUGCGUAACGCGUAAGUAACUUGCCCCAAGGUAAGGAAUAACGUCGAGAAAUCGGCGCUAAUACCUCAUAAUGCAGCGGAUCCGCAUGGAUAUGUUGUUAAAGGUUUACCGCCUUGGGAUAGGCUUGCGUCUGAUUAGCUAGUUGGUGUGGUAAUGGCACACCAAGGCUACGAUCAGUAACUGGGUCUGAGAGGAUGAUCAGUCACACUGGAACUGAGACACGGUCCAGACUCCUACGGGAGGCAGCAGUGAGGAAUAUUGGGCAAUGCACGAAAGUGUGACCCAGCAACGCCGCGUGGAGGAUGAAGGUAUUCUAUAUCGUAAACUCCUGUGAGAGCAGACGAAAGACAGAUUAUUAAUUUGGAUGACUGUAUGCUCAGAGGAAGCCCCGGCUAACUACGUG